CUUUUCUCCAUAAUAUCAGGUAUACCCAGAUUCUCUCUUCGCUUUGUUGAUGACCGUUGAUUCUGUUUCUAUUUCACUUGUUUUCUUAUCCUCUUAUCACUCAAAUUAAUCUGGUUUUCUUUAAAUUCUUGAACUUUAGUUUGCCCUUCUUGUUAUUAUUGUAAAGUACUUCCAAUUUUCUCUUCUUAUUUGUGUUAUUGAUGAUCUAUGCAUCUAGUUUGACAUUUAGUACCUUUUGUGAAUAUGUGUUUAUGACCUUUCCUUCUCUCUCUUUCUCUAUCGUUUUGGAAUUGAUCCCUUUCACUAAUGUUCACGGAUUCAUACCCGUUUAUUCUGUUUGGUUGGUGAGAAAACUGAAGAUAGAAGAUUUUCAAAAGUAUUCCCUGUUUUCUGGCUUUUUAAUAAAUAGAAAUAGAAAUAGAAAUUAAUCAGUUUUAGUGAAGUCCUAAUGGUGAGAUGACUCUUAAUUGUGUGCUUGUCUCUUGUUAAAUAUGAUCGAUGAUUGUUCUUUUGGUUCGCUUUUGUCUUUUUGAUCCUUUUUAUGUUGCUUUUUCAAAUUUUGGCAUAAUAUCCUAGUAGCCUUUUCUUUUCAACCAGUUAAAAAAAGGGGGAAAAAGAGAAAUUACGCUGCGGAUUUGUUAACUUUUCACUAUUUUUUUGGUCAUGUAAACCCUCGGAAAAAUUUUCAUACCCUUUUUGAAAUCCAUCCUGCUAUUUCAACUGUUCCU
rnacentral:misc_RNA from 1 species